UUUAAAGGGGGCUGUCUCUCAAAUGAUGCAUUUUCUAUUGGUAGUAAAGGAAAUAUGAAAUAGGUACCUCUGUGCACUGUGGAUUUAUGUAAAUGGCUUUUUACCAGGUAAUGUAGCUUAAAGCUCUGUCAAGUCUCUAACACUUGGAAUUUUUGGCAAAGAAAUGAAAGAACCUGUAAGUUAUCAUUAUUUUAUUUUAUUUUUUUCAAUACCUUCCAGGGUGGUCUUUUUGUUUGGUAAUUUUAAACUACAUUCUUGAAAAAGUUUCUCAAGAUUCAAGCAAUUCCUAGGACUGUACACUUGGGGAACAUUUCUUAAAAUACAUAACAAAUUCAAAUUAAUAAGAAAAAGACAACCCAGAAGAAAAAUGGACACGUGAAUUAAUCAGAAACUCAAGAGGCUCACUGUGGUUCCAGCUCCCAUAAAGGAAUCUCUCAGUUCCUGGCUCUGGCCACACUACUGUGGUAGAUGUGAGGUACUCAGGUCCUCUUUAAGGAAGGACUUGCUGCCCAGCGGCAGGUGGUGCAGCCAGCAUCCAGCUGUCAGCUCCUACAGGGUCAGCCUUACUUGCAGAGAACCACCUUGCUCGAGGUCAUGCCCUUCCUGAAGCAGCUGGCAUCCAGUGUUGACCACUCAUGAACACCUUGCACUCCAGUAUAUUUCUAAGUGCUUCUGAGAACCCAACCUGCAACACCACUUCUCCCCUCUGCCUCCAGCCUAGAGAUGGGAAUGGCUUCCUGCUGGUGCUAAUCUUUAGGUGGCCUCACCAUGUCCCAUUUGGACACUCUGCUCUUGCAUCAUCCAUGUAAUCAAUUAACUGCAUUAAAUCCCCAUCUCUUUAAAUAAAGUAGGUUCUGACACAGCCAACAUUAUACUGAAUGGCGAAAAGUUGAAAGCGUUCCCCCUGAGAACUGGAACAAGACAAGGAUGCUCCCUUUCACCACUUCUAUUCAACGUAGAACUGGAAGUCCUAGCCAGAGCAAUCAGACAAGAGAAGGCAAUAAAGGACAUCCAAAUAAGUAAAGAGGAAGUCAAACUGUCACUGUUUGCUGAUGAUAUGAUUGUAUACCUAGAAAACCCUAAGAACUUAUCCAAAAAGCUCCUAGAACUGGUAAAUGAAUUCAGUGAAGUUUCAGGAUACAGAAUUAAUGUACACAAGUCAGUAGCACUGCUAUACACCAACAGUAACCAAGCUGAGACUCAAAUCAAGAACUUAGCCUCUUUUACAAUAGCUGCAAAAAAUAAAAUAAAAUACUUAGGAAUAUACCUGUUACCAAGGAGGUGAAAGACCUCUACAAUGAAAACUAUAAAACACUGCUGAAAGAAAUCAUAGAUGACACAAACAAAUGGGAACACAUCCCAUGCUCAUGGAUGGGUAGAAUCAAUAUUGUGAAAAUGACCACACUGCCAAAAGCAAUCUACAAAUUCAGUGCAAUUCCUAUCACGGUAUCACCAACAUUCUUCACAAAGCUGGAAAAAGCAAUCCUAAAAUUCAUAUGGAACAAAAAAAGAGCCCACAUAGCCAAAGCAAUACUAAGCAAAAAGAACAAAUCUGGAGGCAGCACAUUACCUGACUUCAAACUAUACUAUAAGGCCAUAGUCACCAAAACAGCAUGGUACUGGUAUAAAAUAGGUACAUAAACCAAUGGAACAGAAUAGAGAACCCAGAAAUAAAGCCGGAUACUUAUAGCUAACGAGUCUUCAACAAAGCAAACAAAAUAAAGUGGGGAAAGGACACCCCAUUCAACAAAUGGUGCUGGGAUAAUUGUCAAGCCACAUGUAGAAAAAAUGAAACUGGAUCCUCAUCUCUCAUUUUAUACAAAAAUCAACUCAAGAUGGAUCAAAGACUUAAGUCUAAGACCUGAAACCAUAAAAAUUCUAGAAGAUAACAUUGGAAAAACCCUUCUAGACAUUGGUAUACGCAAAGACUUCACAACCAAGAACCCAAAAGAAAAUGCAACAAAAACAAAGAUAGAUAGGUAGGAUUUAAUUAAACUAAAUUACUUCUACACAGCAAAAGAAAUUAUCAGUAUAGACCACCCACAGAGUAGGAGAAAAUCUUUGCAAUCUAUACAUCUGACAAAGGAUUAAUAUCCAGAAUCUACAAGGAACUCAGAUCAGCAAGAAAAAAAACAAAGAAUCCCAUCAAAACAUGGGCUAAGGACAUGAAUAAACAAUUCUCAAAAGAUGUACAAAGGGCCAACAAACAUAUGAAAAAAUGUUCAACAUCACUAAUUAUCAGGGAAAUGCAGAUCAAAACCACAAUGAGAUGCUACCUCACUCCUACAAGAAUGGCCAUAAUCAAAAGAUCAAAAAUAAUAGAUGUUGGCAUGGAUGUGAAGAAAAGGGAACACUUUUACACUGCUGGUGGGAAUGUAAACUAGUACAACCACUAUGGAAAACAGUGUGGAGAUUCCUUAAAGAACGAUAAAUAGAUGAACCGUUUGAUCCAGUGAUCCCACUACUAGGUAUCCACCCAGAGGAAAAGAAGUUACUAUACGAAAAAGAUACUUGCACAUGGAUGUUUAUAGCAGCACAAUUCUCAAUUGCAAAAAUAUGGAACCAGCCCACAUGCCCAUCAGUCAAUGAGUGGAUAAAGAAAAUGUGAGGGAUAAAAGACUACACAUUGGGUACAGUGUAUACUGCUUGUGUGAAGGGUGCACCAAAAUCCCAGAAGUCACCACUGAAGGACUUAUUCAUGUAACCAAACACCACCUGCUCCCCAAAAAUCUAUUGAAAUGGAAAAUAAAUAAAUAAAGUAGGUU